AAAAGCCUCUAAGCAUCAGGUAACAUCAAAUCGUACCCCAAACCGACACAGGUGGUCAGGUAGAGAAUACCAAGGCGCUUGAGAGAACUCGGGUGAAGGAACUAGGCAAAAUGGUGCCGUAACUUCGGGAGAAGGCACGCUGAUAUGUAGGUGAAGCGACUUGCUCGUGGAGCUGAAAUCAGUCGAAGAUACCAGCUGGCUGCAACUGUUUAUUAAAAACACAGCACUGUGCAAACACGAAAGUGGACGUAUACGGUGUGACGCCUGCCCGGUGCCGGAA
rnacentral:rRNA from 1 species